rnacentral:rRNA from 1 species
AGUGAACGCUGGCGGUAGGCCUAACACAUGCAAGUCGAACGGCAGCACAGUAAGAGCUUGCUCUUACGGGUGGCGAGUGGCGGACGGGUGAGGAAUACAUCGGAAUCUACUUUUUCGUGGGGGAUAACGUAGGGAAACUUACGCUAAUACCGCAUACGACCUACGGGUGAAAGCAGGGGAUCUUCGGACCUUGCGCGAUUGAAUGAGCCGAUGUCGGAUUAGCUAGUUGGCGGGGUAAAGGCCCACCAAGGCGACGAUCCGUAGCUGGUCUGAGAGGAUGAUCAGCCACACUGGAACUGAGACACGGUCCAGACUCCUACGGGAGGCAGCAGUGGGGAAUAUUGGACAAUGGGCGCAAGCCUGAUCCAGCCAUACCGCGUGGGUGAAGAAGGCCUUCGGGUUGUAAAGCCCUUUUGUUGGGAAAGAAAAGCAGCAGGUGAAUACCCCGCUGUUCUGACGGGACCCAAAGAAUAAGCACCGGCUAACUUCGUG